GUUUUAAUUCCUUAUAGGUAUUCUAAAAAC
rfam:Clostridium sp. DMHC 10 contig_1, whole genome shotgun sequence.